UGUGUGUGGGGGUGUGUGUGUGUGUGAGGGAGGUAGGGUGGUGUAUAAAUCGGUCUCUACACACAAUGAUUGUUUGUGAACCUUUUGGCAUUCCACACAGCAGAGCGGUUCUCUUUCAGAGCGCAGCGUCAGCCUCCUUUAGGAUGAAGGGAUGCUGCAGCUCGAACAGAGGACAAAAAAUGAAGAAGCUCUCCCGAAAGCUGGCUUUAGCUGCGGCUGCUCUGUUCUGGAUAGCGGCUCUGCUGUAUGUGAUCCUCCUGAACAGUCGGAGGAUCCCUGAGACACAGAGACAGAGAGAGAAAGAAAAAGAGAUAUCAAAUACAGAAUGGGAUGAUCUCUUGGAUGAGUUCGAAGAGAAGAACUACCUCAACGCUGACAGGUGGAAGCCAGGCCAAGAUCCUUACAGUCAGUAUGCUUUCAAUCAAAGAGAGAGCGAGAGGAUCCCCAGCAACAGAGCACUUAAAGACACCCGACAUUACAGGUGUACAAUGCUGCACUAUGACACUGAGCUGCCAUCCACCAGUAUAGUGAUCACACUGCACAACGAAGCCCGCUCCACUCUACUGCGUACACUGAGGAGUGUGCUGAAUCGGACGCCUGUGCAUCUGAUUCAUGAGAUCAUCCUGGUGGACGACUUCAGUGUGGAUCCAAGUGACUGUCUUUUUCUCACCAAGUUACCUAAAGUCAAGUGUCUUCGCAAUAAACAAAGAGAAGGGUUGAUCAGGUCCAGGGUUCGAGGGGCAGAUGCUGCUGAAGCAGAAGUCCUCACCUUCCUCGACAGCCACUGUGAGGUCAACAAAGACUGGCUGCCUCCACUGCUUCAGAGGAUCAAAGAGGACCCAAGUUGUAUUGCCAGCCCAGUGAUAGACAUCAUCAACAUGGACUCAUUUGCCUACAUUGCUGCUUCCUCAAACCUACAGGGUGGCUUUGACUGGAGUCUCCAUUUCAAGUGGGAACAGCUAUCUGCUGAGAAGAGAGCCAAGAGAGUCAACCCCACAGAACCUAUUAAGACACCUGUUCUUCCUGGAGGGCUCUUUGUAACCAGCAAAUCCUGGUUCAACCACCUGGGGAAAUAUGACACAGCCAUGGAUAUCUGGGGGGGAGAGAACUUUGAGAUCUCGUUCAGGGCGUGGAUGUGUGGGGGAAGUCUGGAGAUUGUCCCAUGCAGCAGAGUCGGCCAUGUUUUCCGCAAGAAACACCCAUACAUCUUUCCAGAUGGCAAUGCCAAUACUUAUAUUAAGAACACAAGACGUACUGCUGAGGUGUGGAUGGAUGAGUUUAAAAUCUUCUAUUACUCUGCUCGACCGGCAGCCAGGGGCAAGUCCUAUGGAGACGUUCGUGGUAGACAACAGCUAAGAAAGAGUCUGAAAUGUAAAUCCUUCCAGUGGUAUUUGGACAAUGUCUAUCCAGAGCUCAAAGUUCCAGAUAAUUCACAUUCGAAAUCUGGAGUGAUCCAGCAAAGGCAGAACUGUCUUGAAGCUCAGCAAGCUGAGGGGCAGGAUGUUCCAGUGCUCAAGCUUGCCCCAUGCAUCAGCACCAAAACUGCCAACCAGGAGUGGAUCUACACACAUGGACAGCAGAUUCGCCAGCAGCAUGUCUGCCUGUCCGUCUCUACCACAUUGCCUGCCUCACAGAUCCUACUCGUGCCCUGCAACAUCAGCGACAGCAAACAGCGCUGGCAGAAAACAGGCACCCACCUGGAGCACCAAGUAUCACACUUCUGUCUGGACAGUGAGAUGGCUUUGGAUGCUGUCUAUGGCAGUGGGAUUUUGGUGAUCAGCCCAUGUGAGCUCUCAGUGCAAACACAGAGAUGGGAAAUGCCUUUUUCUUGAUCCUGAGCUUUUCCAGGCCAAAAAGUGAGAGAGGCUCCUGUGUGAAGGGAACUGUAGGGAAGACAACACCAAUUGCAGUCACUUCCAUUGUCUGAAGCUGAAGAGGAUCCCUGAAAUGUCAAGAAGAACAGAAAUGAGCAGCUGGGCACAUGUGCAACCCUGAGCUUUAAAAUAACUAAGAAGUACAGAAACACACACACACACACACACACACACACACACACAAACACACACACACACAACUGUGAAAAAGUAUUUGUCCUCUCCCUGAUUUCUUCUACUUUUCAUAUUUGUCUCACUUAUUAUUUUCAGAUUUUCAAACAAAGAAAACACAAAAUAGAAUGUACUUACAUAACUGUUUAAUUUAUUGAAGAAAAAAGGUUAUCCAACACUAGCUGGCUUUAUGUGGUGAAAAAGUAAUUGCCCCCUUUGUGACGCAAUCAACCAACUAACCAAAUUUUAUUUGAUUUGAUCAUUUGAUUUGAUUACUGCCAGACCUGUUGAAUCUAAACAUCAAUAUGCACCUUGAUGACCCCGAGCCUUUUGGGAUAAUGUUCUGCGGACUGAUGAGUCAAAAGUGGAAAUAUUUGGAAGACAUGUGUCUUGCUACAUCUGCCAUGAAGCUAACUGAGCAUUCCACAAUAAGAACAUAUGAAACAUGGUGGUAGUAGUGUGAUGGUGUGGGAAUGCUUUGCUGCUUCAGGGCAACUUGGCAUAAUUGAUGGAAUCAUGAAUUCUGCUCUCUACCAGACAAUCCAGAAGGAGACUGUCCAGGCAUGAGUCUGUUAUAUGAAGCUCAAGCGCAGUAAGGUUAAGCACCAAGACAACGAUCUGAAGCACAAGAGCAGGUUCACCACUGAAUGUUUCAAAAGCAAUAACGUGAAGGUUUUGGGUUGGCCUGGUUAAAAUCCUGACUUCAACCCUACUGAGAUGCUGUAGCAGGACCUUAAGGAGGCAGUUUGUGCUGAAAAGCUUUCUAAUGUGGCUGAAUUGAAGCAAUUCUGCAAAGUAUAGCCAAAAUUCCUCCACGGUUACAUGAACGAUCAGUUAUCAGAAGCAUUUAGUGCUAAAGGAAUUCAGGGAAGGGACAAAUACUUUUUCAUGGCACUGUGGCAUUUACCUAGGUCAUCUCAAAGCGUCAUGCGGUAAAUCUGCUUGUUCCUUGUACUGUAUAUCAUUUAAUAAAUUGUCUAUGAUUCUUAAUAACAGGGCUACCAUAUACUUGCGGAAUAUACUGUUUACAUAUUGUUGAUUACUUUGGACUAUGUAGGCUAACAAACACAUGCACUUGAUAUCCAAAAGUAUAUUUAAUUCUGCUUUUGGUGAGAGAGAAGAUAUUGUUGAUAAAGUUUUAUUCGCCUCCAUAUCCAGCAAACAGCAUUAUAACUUGCCCUAGAUCUAAACAGAGGACUAACCACAGUGCUGACCAGGAAUGUAGAAGUAUUCUGACAAGAAUGAGGCUCCUGCUCCAUCACGCUGAGCUUCGUCCACUAGAGGUGAAGGAAUACGUCUGUUUUAAGGUCAUUUCUCUCUACAUGCAGAAACAUAACAGAAAUGGUUAGAAGCUUCACAAUUGCAAUGGAGGCUUUACUCUGUGGUCCUCCAGCAAUCAAGGUACAGCAGUGUCAACCCUAACCUUGUAGUACAGUUGCCCAAGUGACUGGACUAUCCAAUAAUGUAUGAACUGGUUUAAAUAGCCCUUGUGCAUGCUCAGAAGUGUAUUGAAGCUGCGACCUGAGAAAAAAGGUAUGCAUACUGGUUCCAGUGGCAGAUGCAGAAGAGGUAGCGCUGAGCACUAGUGGUCUUAUUAGUGCUACAGGCUGAUAAAACUCUGCACUUAAAUGCAAGCGCAUGUACCUCAAUUAAAAUGACCUGAAAUUAAUAGUUUGUGGUUAGUAGGUUGUUUCCCUAACAUGCUGCACAGUUACUCUUCGCCUUUAAUGACAUAAUAAUGCCCAUAAAUGGGUACAGAAUUCCUACAUGCAACACUAAUCAAGCAGUGGUUAGCAGGGAGAUAAAGCACUGAAACGCAGUAGAUGACUGGUAUUGUUAACACAAUGAGAAGGCAAGUUGCGACGAGAGCAAGGUGACUUAAACACCGAAGGAAUGGUACAAACACACUGCACCACCUGCUGGCAGUAGCUGCUAGGUGAUUGGCACUAGGGUGCACUAAAUCAGAGAUUCUCAACCUUUUGUAACUAAAAUCCUCCCAAGCAUCCCCGAUCAUGUGCCAUGCCCCCCAACAUAUUGGAGGAGACCAGGUAUAAUGAUUAUCUAUUCUAUAUAUUCAAUUCAAUUAAAUUUUAUUUGUAUAGCGCUUUUAACAAUGGACAAUGUCUCAAAGCAGCUUUACAGAAACAUAUAAACACAGGAUACAGAUUUUAAGUGUGUGAAUUUAUCCCUAAUGAGCAAGCCAGUGGCGACGGUGGCAAGGAAAAACUCCCUAAGAUGAUAUGAGGAGGAAACCUUGAGAAGAGCCAGACUCAGAAGUUAACCCAUUCUCAUCUGGGUAACAACAGAUAGUGUGAAAGUUAAGGAAAGUUCAUUAUGGUUUUUAUAUGAAGUCUGUUUUGUUUAAUGGAUCCACUGUUCACUAAGGCCAUAGCAGCAACCAUAGUCCCAGCAACCACAGCGAGAAUGUCCAUGUGGAAUUGAGGUCCAAAACCAUUUCCAUGGUACUUCAAGCGGCACCAUCCUCAGCAAUCUCCAGGCUGCACUGCUUGGGGUCAUCCUCAGUGGCAGAAUGUAGCCUCCAGUUGAUGGGAGCUCCAGCCAGAGGUAGGGCAU